CAUAGUUUACAAUGUCCCUGCAUAUUUUCUCUAUAAAUAUGUACUAAACCCAAAGGCUAAAGAAUCAAAGAAAUAGAGUUCUUUUGCUUAAAAAGAUCGAAGAGGAACAAUAUGGCUAAGCUUAACUUGAUUGUACUUCUAGUUGUCUCUCUUCUUGUCAUCAUUUCAGUAGCUGAGAGUAAACGACUUGCUGUUGGACUUGCAAAGAGGACUCCGACCCUUGUUUGUAAUUCCGUUUAUGGUGCAGCGGAAGGUGAUACUUGCGGUAGUGUCGCUCAAAUGUUCAAUCUGAGUCUCAAAUCCUUCCUUUCCAUCAACCCUAACAUCAACUGCAGGAGCUUUUUUGUGGGUCAAUGGCUAUGUACUGAUGGUGCUACGAAGUGAGUUACUACAUUUUCAUGUAUAUGUUGAGUUGAGGACAUAUAAUGUAAGAAUAAAAGAGGAUGAGCUAGCAACCUAGGUAGCUUUGAUGCCCUCUCAUGUCUCAACUCAACCCAUUGUUUCCCGUUAAUUGUUGUUAUUUUACAAAAUUUUAAAAAAGUGUAUACCGUAAUUCCUAGUUAACUUACGUUCUGUUUUAACAUUGUUAUAAUAAAGGAAGCCGUAGUUUCAUAA